rnacentral:misc_RNA from 1 species
UCACCCAGCACGGACACCUGCU